AAUUGUUACAUUUGGAAUGAAGCUGCAGCAAAAAUAGGGAAGUGUAAUUGAACGUGUCCAGGCAGCGCUUGUCUGUUUAGUAUUCAAAGUUAGGAGUCAGCUUUUGACCUUCCCAUUUUAUUAGCUUCAAUCUUUUUCUUUAGCCCCUUGCUAACUGUUGGUGAUCUGCAGGUUCCUGACAGUGUGUUUCCCUGCAGCUCCCAUCUGAGUUACCCCAGGGAAGAAUCUGGGAUGCAGCUUGUCCACAAUGACAGCCUCUGCCCUGCCAGGUGACUGACGGAGCAAAGAGAGCAUCUGUUUCCUUCCACGUGUAUGUGCCAAAAUAUCAGGUAAUCUCUUCAAAGUUGGACCACUGCUUUACAGACCCCUGUGAGAUUUACAAAGGAUCCAGCACUACAAGAUCCCAAACACUUGCCUCUGCACCUUGGUCUGCUGAAAGAAACCUUACGACUGCAGAGCAUGUAAUCUGGAAGAGGCUGGUGGGCACGUAUUUUGUAUGUAUAAAGCAAGCUGCAGUGAAUAGGAAGUGGGGAUUUCAGGUCAGAAGAAAUACGUGACUUGAGAGAGGUAGUUUUUUGGGGGAGUGCCUUUCCAGGUUCCUCAGUGCUGCGAGAUCAGCAUGUCAAUGAAAAAUAGCGGUCCUUGCUCAUUGCACUUGUCCAUGUGUCUUGCAAGCUGAUGAGAGGGGAAUGCUGCACUGCAGCUUCUGGGAAACUACUUGAAGGGUAAUAGCCAUGUUAGAAUAAAAGCAGUAGCAGUUUUCA
rnacentral:lncRNA from 1 species